rnacentral:lncRNA from 1 species
UGCAAAGACCAAGAUAAUAUGACCUUCACUACUUUGUAGAAGAAUUAAAUCAUAGGAUUGCACUGUGUCGCACAAGUCUUCCAGGUCAUAUUUGUUACGUUAUUUGUUGCAAGUCAUAACAUUGCAAGAAAGCAAACUGUGUAGCACAGAAGUUCAGAGUAUGGAACAAGCUGUGACCCACUUUUCACCAACAGUGCAGACUCAUAGUGAGCAAUGACAGGGUGACUGAGUGUGAAGGAAAGGGGAGAACUGACUCCAGCUCUUCACAGGACAGCCUUUGUCAGACCCAAGCACGCAGGGAGGCAGCAAACUGCAGAGUAUGCGGGCUACUUAAGGGCACCAGGUCUUUCUCUUUUCCUCCUCAAUAUCCUGAGCAGCACCUGAAAGCCUCAUUCAGAACUGAAGCUCUGUUAUCCCAGGCGCUGUAUGAAGCUACACUAAGUUGCUACUCCUGGCUUUUAACACUGAUCCUGCAACAGUUCAGACAUUGUGUUGCUUUCAGCGCAUGGUGAAUCUGUUGGGAGUGAAUCUAUUGUACUCUGCAUCAGCAAAACUUGGCUCAUGCUUCUCUGCAAGAUUGUUCACAAAGUUUUUUUCAAGAUGAAAUAGGGAUUCAG